GACGGACGCUGGCGGCGUGCCUAAUACAUGCAAGUAGAACGCACAGUUUAUACCGUAGCUUGCUACACCAUAGACUGUGAGUUGCGAAUGGGUGAGUAACGCGUAGGUAACCUGCCUGGUAGCGGGGGAUAACUAUUGGAAACGAUAGCUAAUACCGCAUAAUAUUGAUUAUUGCAUGAUAAUUGAUUGAAAGAUGCUAUUGCAUCACUACCAGAUGGGCCUGCGUUGUAUUAGCUAGUAGGUGAGGUAACGGCUCACCUAGGCGACGAUACAUAGCCGACCUGGGAGGGUGAUCGGCCACACUGGGACUGAGACACGGCCCAGACUCCGACGGGAGGCAGCAGUAGGGAAUCUUCGGCAAUGGACGAAAGUCUGACCGAGCAACGCCGCGUGAGUGAAGAAGGUUUUCGGAUCGUAAAGCUCUGUUGUAAGAGAAGAACGGGUGUGAGAGUGGAAAGUUCACACUGUGACGGUAUCUUACCAGAAAGGGACGGCUAACUACGUG
rnacentral:rRNA from 1 species